ACUAUAAGCCCAAAGAAGGGAAAAUCGUACAAUACACCGCAACUUUUAGUGGUUUGGUUGUUAGAACGGUGACUUAGAGCUAAUUAAAUUUGUAUAAUUUGUAAUUAAUUUGUGUAAUUUGUGGUUUCGGCUUAUUUCAUAGUGGGCAAGCCUGAGCGGCGAGCCUGAUGAGAUGGCCGCUCAUGAUCGGCUCUGUUACGAAGUUCGGGAUCAGCUUAGACAUACUCAGGACAGUGCAGCCGAUCCCAGACUUGACUUACUAUUUCUCCGUGAUUCAGAAAAAACACGUAAUCUGUGAUGAAAGAAUGGUUUACUUACUUUGUCGAUUUUUCUGGGGAGAUUACUGGUCAUCGCCGAAGCAGAGAAUAAUCGGAUUUUCCUCAUCUGGGUCAUCGCCAAACGCGAAUCCAACCUCCAUGUAACUGUUUCCUGUUCAGAAUGUUUUAUUAUUAUAAUUUUUUUCAGUUAGAUUUUCUUUGCUUCGAGUAACCAUGAAAGUGCAUGUGAUCACUGUCAGAAUAUGGAAGAGAAGGGAAAAUAUAUCUAGACAAGGGGAUGUAUACAGCAAUAGUAUUAAGCUAAUGGAAACCUUCACAAGAAAGAAGCCAACAGAUGAAAUUUCUACGGAAGGAAUGAGCCUGAGGAGUUGGGUCGAUGAGUCAUUAUGCAACACAAAUUUACUAAGAGGAGAUGACCUGGCUUAUCAAUCUGUGGCCCCAUGUAUAUUGUAGAACUCUCUAUGUUCUGAAAAGUCAUAGCCAAUAACAUAAAGUCCUGACAAUUAAUCGAUCCAUGGACUAUACCCUGUCAAUGGGUUUCCUAAACUCCCUUAAUUAACCCACCUAUGAUAUAGUUUGGCAAGAAAAUUAAUAUCGUUUUUAACAUGAAUAAAUAUAAAUUAGUGCAAUAAAUUUGACUGAAAAAUUCGGUAUAAAUAGGUAACUCUCUGGCCCGUUGCGAACAAGAAAUGAGAAGGCCUCUGUUUUGACUUUGGGGUCAAAUUUGUCAGAUGCUAAGAAGGUGAAACUGACGAGUGAGAAUCCGCAGCAUCGCUUGUUUCAUUUACUUGCUCUGCUUCAAAAUUUAAUAAUUCAGAAGGCAAAGACAACUUUCGGAAAUGCACGCUUAAUGUUUGAUAAAAUUCCUCUUUGAAACUCAUCGUUCUGUUUUCAACUCUCGUUUUAGAGUGAAAAAUGAGCUAAAACGCUAACCCUUUUAUUUUUUUCUUUAAUAUUAUUGCUCUGGUUCAAAUAAUGGGCCUUGUUAUGGAUGAGUACAACUUUUCUUCAUGUGGGGUUAUGCAGAUAAAUUUGUAUUUGUGUCAUUUUUUUGCUUGGUUUCAAGUUUAUGAUGGUUUCAAUUGUUUUUGUUUGUGAUUAAAUGGUAGUUGAAGAAUGGAGAAUGAGAAGAGAGCUGAGCUAGUGAGCUUUUUAAAAGCUGUUCCCUCUUUAGAAUUCUGUUGUGUUUAUGGCUCCACUUUGCAUCCAAACAAUAAGGACAAGUCAGCCAUGGUUGACUAUAUUCUCGGAGUCUUGGAUCCUCUGCAAUGGCAUUCUCAGUUGUGAUCAUAUAUGAUAUCUAAUUGUACUUUGUUGAUUAAAAUUGAUUACUGAUAGGAAAGUGUGUUUGUCGUACAACCAAGAAUCUGAAAAUGAGUGCAGAUCAUUAUGCAUCCUGGCUGAGGUUGCUUGGCGGGGCAAAGCUGGUAAUUCUCUCUCUCUCUCCCUAUAUAUCUUCCUAUCUCUUAACUCUUGGGCACUCCUAAGAGAUGCUGAAGAAAUGUACCACCAAAUACAUAAUAUUUCAAGUUUAAACAUAGGCAAUAUUAUGUCCAUUCGGUUUUGAG